rnacentral:rRNA from 1 species
GAUGAACGCUGGCGGCGUGCCUAAUACAUGCAAGUCGAGCGAACGGACGAGAAGCUUGCUUCUCUGAUGUUAGCGGCGGACGGGUGAGUAACACGUGGAUAACCUACCUAUAAGACUGGGAUAACUUCGGGAAACCGGAGCUAAUAUCGGAUAAUAUUUUGAACCGCAUGGUUCAAAAGUGAAAGACGGUCUUGCUGUCACUUAUAGAUGGAUCCGCGCUGCAUUAGCUAGUUGGUAAGGUAACGGCUUACCAAGGCAACGAUGCAUAGCCGACCUGAGAGGGUGGAUGGGCCAGCCGGGAGUGGAACACGGGCCGGGCCCCUAAGGGAGGGAAGAGAAGGGUAAGGUACGGAAGGGGGCAAAGGCAAGUCGGACCAAGCCGGGUGGGGUGUGGAAGGUCGGCGGGUGGUAAACUCUGUUAUUAGGGAAGAACAUAUGUGUAAGUAACUGUGCACAUCUUGACGGUACCUAAUCAGAAAGCCACGGCUAACUACGUG